rnacentral:rRNA from 1 species
UCCUACGGGGGGCAGCAGUAGGGAAUCUUCCACAAUGGACGAAAGUCUGAUGGAGCAACGCCGCGUGAGUGAAGAAGGGUUUCGGCUCGUAAAGCUCUGUUGGUAGUGAAGAAAAAUAGAGGAAGGAACUGGCCUUUAUUUGACGGGAAUUUCUUAGAAAGGCACGGCUAACUACGUGCCAGCAGCCGCGGUAAUACGUAGGUGGCGAGCGUUGUCCGGAUUUAUUGGGCGUAAAGCGAGUGCAGGCGG